AAUGACAGACAGACAGGACAAAAACAAUAUACAUUGUAUCCCCGAUCUAUCGAUCCGGGGCCAUACAAAAUGAAAUAAUGCACCAAUGAUUUUUGUACAUGUUUCAAAGUGAAAUUACAUUUUGAAUAGGUCUAUAAUUGAUAUUUAAUAUUAUUUAAUUUUAGUGCUGCGAUGUCAAAAUCAGUUUCCUUUAAUCCGAAAAGAAGAUAUACACCAUCGAUGGCUGAGAAUGGCUAUAGAAGCGCAACUAUUUCUCCUCCAGACAAACCUUCACCAUCAUGUUGCAGUCAUUGCAGUCUACAUGAACUUAAUGCCUUGAAGAAGAGGAAGCUGGAGCUUCAAAUACAAUUGUUUGAGGCCCAGUUGGCGCGAUUUGAUGAGGAAUAGAUUAUUUUGUUAUUUGUUAUUAUUUUGUUAUGAAGAUAUAGUUUAGUUAUAUUAAAGAGUUACAUGAAAUU